CCUACGGGAGGCAGCAGUAAGGAAUAUUGGUCAAUGGACGAGAGUCUGAACCAGCCAUGCCGCGUGAAGGAUGAAGGCCCUCUGGGUUGUAAACUUCUUUUAUAGGGGACGAAAAAAGGGAAUUCUUUCCCACUUGACGGUACCCUAGGAAUAAGCACCGGCUAACUCCGUGCCAGCAGCCGCGGUAAUACGGAGGGUGCAAGCGUUAUCCGGAUUUACUGGGUUUAAAGGGUGCGUAGGUGGGCAGUUAAGUCAGUGGUGAAAUCUCCGAGCUUAACUCGGAAACUGCCAUUGAUACUAUCUGUCUUGAAUAUCCUGGAGGUGAGCGGAAUAUGUCAUGUAGCGGUGAAAUGCUUAGAUAUGACAUAGAACACCAAUUGCGAAGGCAGCUCACUACGGGAUUAUUGACACUGAGGCACGAAAGCGUGGGGAUCAAACAGGAUUAGAUACCCUGGUAGUCCACGCCCUAAACUAUGGAUACUCGACAUCAGCGAUACACUGUUGGUGUCUGNGNGAAGANAUAGUAUCCACCUAGGAGACGAGCGCGAGAUAGAAUAAGUAGAGUAGAGNGNGAGAGAGCGAGACGACGACGAGGGAGGAGG
rnacentral:rRNA from 1 species